ACAUGCCUACAACAUAGCAUUAAUGAAUCGAAUCCCAUUAGAACUCCACAGUUAAGUGCGCUUAGGCUAGAGUAGUACUAGGAUGGGUGACUGCCCAAGAAGUCCUAGUGUUUUACAUGCC
rfam:Picea glauca, whole genome shotgun sequence.